rnacentral:rRNA from 1 species
UGGGGAAUAUUGCACAAUGGGCGCAAGCCUGAUGCAGCCAUGCCGCGUGUAUGAAGAAGGCCUUCGGGUUGUAAAGUACUUUCAGCGGGGAGGAAGGGAGUAAAGUUAAUACCUUUGCUCAUUGACGUUACCCGCAGAAGAAGCACCGGCUAACUCCGUGCCAGCAGCCGCGGUAAUACGGAGGGUGCAAGCGUUAAUCGGAAUUACUGGGCGUAAAGCGCACGCAGGCGGUUUGUUAAGUCAGAUGUGAAAUCCCCGGGCUCACCCUGGGAACUGCAUCUGAUACUGGCAAGCUUGAGUCUCGUAGAGGGAGGUAGAAUUCCAGGUGUAGCGGUGAAAUGCGUAGAGAUCUGGAGGAAUACCGGUGGCGAAGGCGGCCCCCUGGACGAAGACUGACGCUCAGGUGCGAAAGCGUGGGGAGCAAACAGG